CAGCUCCGCGCCCGCCCCGCCCGCCCGCCCGCGCUCCCGCCGGCUCCCCGCGGGACGCGGACCGCGCUCGGGGCGCGGCGGGGGCCGCGGGCGCGGGAGAGGAAAGGCGCUGAGGCACCCGCGUCCCGCGCCGCGAAGCCCCGUCCCGCGCCGAGCGCGCCUCGCCGGCCGGUCCCAACUUUACCGCCGCCGGCCCAGCCCGUCCGCGCGCUCCGCGCCGCCCGCGCACACGCGCGCACGGACGACACGCAGCCCGCGGCCGCCGCUCCCGCCGCCGCCCGCCCGGCCGAGCCGCGGGGCCCGAGCGCCGGCGCCGGCGGGGCUGGGGCGCGCGGAAGCCACUCUACACAGGCAGCGCCGGGCACAAGUUAGUUCCUCGGCUCCGGGGCCUCGGCGCCGCGGGGACGAAACGCCGAGGGCGCCGAGGAGGAGGGGAGGGGGGCGCCGAGGGGCACAAGAGUGGGGAAAAGUGCGGAAAGAAGCAACAGCCGCUCCCCCGGAGCCCAGAAAAGUGGACGCCGCGUCCCGGCCGCCCGCCUGCGCCGGGGAUGCGGCGGCGGCGGCGGCUAACGGUCCAGCGAAGCGGCAGGGGCGGCGGGAGCCGCUAGGCGGAGAGACCAGUUUUCUCAGUUGGAGCCCCUCGCCUCUGUGCCUGGAAGGAGUUGCAGGUGUGUGUGAGGAGAGAGUGGUCACCCACAGGGCUCCAGCGCAGCUCGGGGGGCCCUCAGGUGAGUCCGGCGGGGCUGACAGCCAACACCGGUUCCCUUCAUCCGCGAGCACCCCUUCAUCCCAGCGGCAUCCCUCCCACCUCCCUGCUCGAAGUAGUUUUUUCCAGUCUCUCCCCCAGUGGACACCCCGCUUCCCCGUCACCUUAUGCAGCGUCACCUCUUUCUUACCUGCGCGAGUUACAUUUGACAUCGCUUCUUCCAUCUUCGUUCACUGAGAAUUCCACACACGUGGUGAUACCGGCGUCCCUACGUCUACGUCACUACGCCUGUGUUACAGGCAUCAUGGCGGAAUGAGGAUGCAGGGACUGCCGCCUGGCUUCCUCUGAACCACUGCCACGUGCGUCGUCCCCAUGUCGCUCCAGACUCUGGGGACGGCCGAGCUCCGGGACCCGUCAGCCUCCAAGGUGGGACUCGAUUUAGCCACGGGGCAACAGCUAAAUCAUUUUGCUGAAUACCUGAAACUAACGCCACAUUGUAAAUCAACUCUGUUUCAAUAAAAGCAAGUUAAAAUAAAUGAUGGGGACAGAGUUAGGAGGUGAGAAAAAUUGCCUGAUGCCAAAAAGCACCUGAGCUGAACUGGAAAGAAGGUGUUUCUGAGGAACCUGGCCAGAAAACGUGGCAGGCAGUCUUCGGGCUUGGGUUGUCUGUCUGCAGCUGUGACACGUGGUCAUGACCGCCUGCACCAUUAUUUGGAGACUCAGGCAAGACUAAAAAUGUCUAAUAACGUGUGCUUCACGUUGAUAAGACUCUGGAAGCAAGAAGAGAGUUUUAUUGUUUAGUCUGGCAGAAAUUACUGAAGCAGUCAUAACUGAAAACCACGCACCUGCUUCUUUGAGCUAUGUACACAAAACGCUCUUAAGUCCAUAGGGUUUGGUAACGGGGCGAUUACUUGCAGUAUGUGAAUGGACUGAUUUCCUCUUGGCCAGAGAAUACACGAGGAAGGGAGAUUACCCGCCUUAUGGAGUAUUUGCUGUGUCCCCCCUCUGUGGAUGGGCCCACCGCUAUCCCUUCACUUCCUCUAUCGAAUACAAACCCUGUCACACACCUUGCCAACCACUCCUCACCUGUGGCAUCAUUCCUCGGAGGCGCGCAGAGGAUGGCCCAGCCGGAGGUGGGACCACAGGAGAGGCAGGAACCCCCCACCCACUCUCUCCGCAUCCCAGUUCUGGGAUCCAGGCCAGGCAGCACAGGGGCUCUGCCUGUGGCCCUCUCCCCUCUCAGAGGGAGGACAGAAGACCUCGGCACCAUGACCUCAGGGCCACGCAGAGGAUGCCUGCCCUUCCAGAUCCUUCAGUGGGGGGCACAGGCUUUCAUUCCUGCAGCAGAGCUUCCCCGCCUCUGUGCCAGUUGUCAGUGUAUCGACAGACGGGUGCCCUCAGGUGUCGGGCACCUCGGCAGGGCCUGGAGCCUCCCUCCUCUUCGCUCUCCACGGUCCCUGAGAUGUACAGGUAUUACCAUUCCCUGUGACAGCCAUGACGUACAGACAGUCUGAAUGCAGCAGAGCGUCCUAGCGAGGAGAUUCUGGUGAGGAUGGGCCCAGUUCCGCCAGAGGCAUCUCCACCCCUCAGCUUUUUAGCCAGAGCAUCACUACGCGCCGGAGGGGCGGCCGGGUGCAGGGCUGGGGGCUCUGCCCCAUGCCCGGGGCGCCGGGCGGACCUGAGCCCUGUGGUCCCCACUGAGCUUUUGAAGUGGAAGGUCCCCCAUUCUUCUAACCACUCCAGAAUCCUCCCUGUGGCCGCUUCUCUUUUUCUCCAGUUUCACCCAAGGGUAGAGUUGCCCUCAGCCCAUCAUGCCCUCGCCCUUCUCUGGCCCUGUGCUGGGAGCUCAGAAGCAGGUGUGGGAGCCCGUGGCUGUGCCCUUAGCCCUGGUCGCAGGGGACACGGCCUCCCGUUAGCACGCCGCAGGAAGACUCCAGAACUGACACCCACGCUCGGCUUUGGGGGGUUUACAAAACACAUCCUGCCCCCCAAAAUUGCAGGGAUAUUUUAAAAUUCAAAUGGGUUAUAUUUUCUAAACAAGAGCUAUGUCGCUUUCCCCAAAGGAGUUUUCAGGCAUUUGAAAAACGUUGGCUGGUGAGUCAGAAGUCUCCUUUUACUCUGUUUUCUCUGGCUCUGAAAAUGUAUACGUAUGUAUACAUAAGCACACGUCACGCUUGGAGGCGUAACUUCUAGGAUGUAAGAGUGUGGCGGUUGGAAUCCUGGUGCCUGGAAGAGAUGGGUCUGUGCCCUGCAUCCCAGCACAGCGUUCAGCACAUUGUGACGUACGGAGAGUCUGUUCCGUACGUGCACCCUCGUCUUCCCCUGUGCUCGCUGACCUGACCCGCGAGGCCGCUGGGCUGACUUCCCGCGCUCGCGCCACGUGCUUGGAGAGUUCCCAAGGCCGGCAAGUCAAAUGUUGCGGCCAGGUCAUCGCCUAUUUCCAGCAAAAUGAGUUCAUAUCCAUU